CCCAUGUCUUGGCCUAAUGUGAGUGCUAAAAGCAGCCACGCGCUGUUAGCUUAACUGCAGCUUUUCGACUCUCCCACUCACAUUUCGGCUCUCCAGCUGCGGCUGCGGCUGCCUCUCCCGCUCUCGCUCUCUUUUAAGCUGUCUUGCAUAUGUCUGGAACGUGUUUUUCUUUUGCCGUCGCUUUGCUCGCUCACCGUUUGUGCGCUACCAUUCUUCUGUUCAGCUUUAGUUCAAUUCGAAACGCGUCUCAGCUCGGUUGUUGACCACGGUUCGACAUCGACUUCGAUUUCGACUGCGCUUUACGUAUAUCUACAAUAUAGAAACUGUGACUGUGCGUGUGAGUGUAUUGGUAUUUGAAUGCCUGAGAGGAACAAGUGCGUCCGGCGCAACCUUAAUGGCCGAUCGCUCGUUUGUUCGGUCAUCGAACGGUUUCCAUUAGCAGAGCACGGCUCUAAAUCGGAAUUCGCAAAAUAUACAAAAA